CCUACGGGUGGCAGCAGUGAGGAAUAUUGGUCAAUGGGCGGAAGCCUGAACCAGCCAAGUAGCGUGCAGGAUGACGGCCCUACGGGUUGUAAACUGCUUUUAUACGGGAAUAACGUGCCUUACGUGUAGGGCUUUGUAUGUACCGUAUGAAUAAGGACCGGCUAAUUCCGUGCCAGCAGCCGCGGUAAUACGGAGGGUCCGGGCGUUAUCCGGAUUUAUUGGGUUUAAAGGGAGCGUAGGCGGCUUGUCAAGGUUGCUGUGAAAUGUUCGGGCUCAACCCGGGCCUUGCAGCGGAAACUGGCGUGCUUGAGUCCGCGGAAGGCAGGCGGAAUUCGUCGUGUAGCGGUGAAAUGCUUAGAUAUGACGAAGAACCCCGAUUGCGAAGGCAGCUUGCUGCAGCGGAACUGACGCUGAUGCUCGAAAGCGUGGGUAUCGAACAGGAUUAGAUACCCGUGUAGUC
rnacentral:rRNA from 1 species